rfam:Heterocephalus glaber contig36754, whole genome shotgun sequence.
GAGGGUGUCGCUUAAUGGUAGAGCAUGUGCUUGGCAUGCACAAGGCACUAGGUUCAAUUCCUGGCACCCCA